AAUGGAACAAUGUAGGCAAGGGAAGUUGGGAAAAUGGAUCUGUAACUUCGGGAAAAGGAUUGCCUCUAAGGACUAGGCUAGGGGGUCCCAGCCCCGAACCCAUCGGCUGUCGACGGAUUGCUCGAGCUGCUCACGCGGCGAGAGCAUGUCGCCGCGUGCCAGCCGGGUGCGGACCGGGAAUCGCCCCUUCGGGGUUUUUCAUUGAGCAUGAAACAGUCGACUCAGAACUGGUACGGACAAGGGGAAUCCUACUGUUUAAUUAAAACAACGCAUUGCGAUUGUUCUCAUGGAUGCUGACGCAAUGUGAUUUCUGCCUAGUGCUCUGAAUCUCAAAGUGAAGAAAUUCAACCAAGUGCGGGUAAAUGGCGGGAGUAACUAUGACUCUCUUAAGGUAGCCAAAUGCCUUGUCAUCUAAUUAGUGACGCGCAUAAAUGAAACCACGGCCAUGGAACGGGCUUGGCGGAAUCAGUGGGGAAAGAAGACCAUGUUGUGCUUGACUCUAGUCUGACUUUGUGAAAUGACUUGAGAGGUGUAGGAUAAGUUGGAGCCCUCACGGGCGCAAGUGAAAUACCACUACUUUUAACGUUAUUUUACUUAUUCCGAGGGUUGGAAGCGGGGCAUGUCCCCUCCUUUUAGCUCCAAGGCUCGGUUUUAUCGGGCCGAUCCGGGUGGAAGACAUUGUCAGGUGGGGAGUUUGGCUGGGGCGGCACAUCAGUUUAAAGAUAAUGCAAGUGUCCUAAGAUGAGCUCAACGAGAAUAGAAAUCUCGUGCGGAAGAAAAGCGUAAAAGCUCGUUGGAUUCUGAUUUCCAGUACGAAUAUGAACCGUGAAAGCGUGGCCUGUCAAUCCUUUAGAUAUUCGAAGUAUGAAGCUAGAGGUGUCAGAAAAGUUACCAUAGGGAUAACUGGCUUGUGGCAGCCAAGCGUUUAUAGCGGUGUCGCUUUUUGAUCCUUCGAUGCCGGCCCUUCCUAUCAUUGUGAAGCAGAAUUCACCUAGUGUUGGAUUGUUCACCCACCAAUAGGGAACGUGAGCUGGGUUUAGACCGUCGUGAGACACAUUAAUUUUACCCUACUGAUGACAGUGUCGCGAUAACUAUUCAACCUAGUAUGAGAGGAACCGUUGAUUCACACAAUUGGUCAUCGCACUUGGUUGGAAAGCCAGUGGCGCAAAGCUACCGUGUGACGGAUUAUUACUGAAUGCCUUAAGUCAGAAUCCAAGCUAGCAUGCGACGCCUGCGCCCGCCUCCCGCCCCGACUCAUGUUAGCGGUGCUUGCGCCCCCAGGGGAAUGUGCCAUUGGCUAAGCCGGUCCGGCCGACGUGCCGCGGCCGGACGCCUUGAGGCUCCCUUCCCAAUGGGCGGUGGGCUGAAUCCUUUGCAUACAACUUAAAUACGUGACAGGGCAUUGUAAGUGGCAGAGUGGCCUUGCUGCCACGAUCCACUGAGAUCCACCCCCAUGUCGCAUGGAUUC
rnacentral:rRNA from 1 species